GACGAACGCUGGCGGCGUGCUUAACACAUGCAAGUCGAACGGAAAGGCCCUGCUUUUGUGGGGUGCUCGAGUGGCGAACGGGUGAGUAACACGUGAGUAACCUGCCCUUGACUUUGGGAUAACUUCAGGAAACUGGGGCUAAUACCGGAUAGGAGCUCCUGCUGCAUGGUGGGGGUUGGAAAGUUUCGGCGGUUGGGGAUGGACUCGCGGCUUAUCAGCUUGUUGGUGGGGUAGUGGCUUACCAAGGCUUUGACGGGUAGCCGGCCUGAGAGGGUGGCCGGCCACAUUGGGCCUGCGAUACGGCCCAGACUCCUACGGGAGGCAGCAGUGGGGAAUAUUGCACAAUGGGCGGAAGCCUGAUGCAGCAACGCCGCGUGCGGGAUGACGGCCUUCGGGUUGUAAACCGCUUUCGCCUGUGACGAAGCGUGAGUGACGGUAAUGGGUAAAGAAGCACCGGCUAACUACGUG
rnacentral:rRNA from 1 species